rnacentral:rRNA from 1 species
AGUGAACGCUGGCGGUAGGCCUAACACAUGCAAGUCGAACGGCAGCACAGGAGAGCUUGCUCUCUGGGUGGCGAGUGGCGGACGGGUGAGGAAUACAUCGGAAUCUACUCUGUCGUGGGGGAUAACGUAGGGAAACUUACGCUAAUACCGCAUACGACCUACGGGUGAAAGCAGGGGACCUUCGGGCCUUGCGCGAUUGAAUGAGCCGAUGUCGGAUUAGCUAGUUGGCGGGGUAAAGGCCCACCAAGGCGACGAUCCGUAGCUGGUCUGAGAGGAUGAUCAGCCACACUGGAACUGAGACACGGUCCAAACUCCUACGGGAGGCAGCAGUGGGGAAUAUUGGACAAUGGUCGCAAGCCUGAUCCAGCCAUACCGCGUGGGUGAAGAAGGCCUUCGGGUUGUAAAGCCCUUUUGUUGGGAAAGAAAUCCAGCUGGCUAAUACCCGGUUGGGAUGACGGUACCCAAAGAAUAAGCACCGGCUAACUUCGUGCCAGCCGCCGCAGUAA